CAAAACAAGGUACCCAAAAUGUGGGUGGGGUAUUGCGGGGGUGUGUGUCUGCGGGAAAUAACAUCCUGGCUGUGGAUAAAUCAAGAAAGCAAUGAUAGAUCUUCCUGUCAUUAUGUAGAAAAACACGAUCUAUUCAUAUCUGUGUGCGAUUACUCAUGCGAUGGGAAAUGCGAUUUGCACUGCGUUACUACAAAUAUCAUAUCACUUACAGCUCUUGCUCGCUAGCGCACAAAGAGGCAGCCAUUUUGUCUGGCUCCCUCUCAAUGUGCCUCCAUUGGUAUUGUAAGCCUCGUUUUAUGCAUUGUUUAUGAUGCCACACCAAACACAUUCUCAUUUUGUCCAGAAAAUGCACAUUCUGAAGGAAUACCGAAGAUUCCCGUCUUUGCUUAGAAUGUUUAAGACACCAUUGAGUGAUGGCUACGCCACAUGCCUCCCUUCUUUUCUUUCUUUUUUACGCACACACACAAAAAUGCAGCAAAGCGCCCAACAUGGGACAAGAUGAGACUCAUUGAAGAGCCAAUCUCACACCUGCUCCCCCACCCACCAUGUCCACACACACACACACUUUCGUUUGCUCUCACACUGAGCUUGUUGUCCAGAGGUGACUUUAUCCUGAAUUGACAAAGUCAGCCAGAAGUGGAAAUCUAGGUUGGACAAAAAAUGUUAAAGCGAAUAACUAGUCAAGUGACACGCCAGUGGAUGUAUUAAUCAAACGAUGAUAUAAUCUCUUUGCUUCAUUAGGACUUCAAUCAGGCCGGGUCAGCGCUGAAGUUUCCACAAGUAUAUUUUCACAGGAGAGCACAAGAUCCAUAUGACCGUCUAUUUUCUGCCAACACAGCAACAUGAAAAUCCAUCAUCUGCAACUCAUGAUCGCCCUGGAAUCGGGUUUGUGGGAUGCCGCUGUCAGCCGUGACGUAGUGGGGGGGUUUGCAACAUGCUGUGGAUGUGAUCCAGGAGUGAAUAAAUAAAAGAUAAGGACCUGAGAUUCACAGCCAUUAAAGCUGUGACAUUAUGUAAGCAUAUAGGUUUUGUUUUUCUGUCUGUCUCACCAAAUGGAUCACCAUGUGGUCCACCUCUCUUCAAAAUGUCUUUUUUU